AACGAACGCUGGCGGCAUGCCUAACACAUGCAAGUCGAACGGACCCUUCGGGGUCAGUGGCGCACGGGUGCGUAACGCGUGGGAAUCUGCCCUUCGGUUCGGAAUAACUCGGGGAAACCCGAGCUAAUACCGGAUGAUGUCUUCGGACCAAAGAUUUAUCGCCGAAGGAGGAGCCCGCGUCCGAUUAGCUAGUUGGUGAGGUAAAGGCUCACCAAGGCGACGAUCGGUAGCUGGUCUGAGAGGAUGAUCAGCCACACUGGGACUGAGACACGGCCCAGACUCCUACGGGAGGCAGCAGUGGGGAAUAUUGGACAAUGGGCGAAAGCCUGAUCCAGCAAUGCCGCGUGAGUGAUGAAGGCCUUAGGGUUGUAAAGCUCUUUUACCCGGGAUGAUAAUGACAGUACCGGGAGAAUAAGCCCCGGCUAACUCCGUGCCAGCAGCCGCGGUAAUACGGAGGGGGCUAGCGUUGUUCGGAAUUACUGGGCGUAAAGCGCACGUAGGCGGCUUUGUAAGUU
rnacentral:rRNA from 1 species